CCCUGCCCUUCACCACAGGGCUGAUCUAUGACUCGGUCAUGCUGAAGCACCAGUGCUCCUGCGGUGACAACAGCAGGCACCCGGAGCACGCCGGCCGCAUCCAGAGCAUCUGGUCCCGGCUGCAGGAGCGGGGACUCCGGAGCCAGUGUGAGUGUCUCCGAGGCCGGAAGGCCUCCCUGGAAGAGCUGCAGUCGGUCCACUCUGAGCGGCACGUGCUCCUCUACGGCACCAACCCGCUCAGCCGCCUCAAACUGGACAACGGGAAGCUGGCAGGGCUCCUGGCACAGCGGAUGUUUGUGAUGCUGCCCUGUGGUGGGGUUGGGCCUCUUGCGACUCUCUCUGCCUUCCUCGCCUCUCUUGGUCUGCCUCGCCCUCCCCAUCUCCCCAUCAUGCCCCCCGGCCCCUCCCUA
rnacentral:sRNA from 1 species